UAUAAACUGCCUGCCUUAUUAGUACAGGACAUCUUUUGAACCAUAAUUAUUUAUCUUGGAAAGGAUGUUUGCAAUGCUCAGAUGGAAAGAGAAAUGUGUUAUUAUUAUGAAUAAUUAAUUUUCAGUGGUGGUGUGGAAUUAUUGGCAUGAGCGUUUCAUUGAGUUUAAUGGAAUUCACAUGGCCAACUGCACUCACUCCUGUAAGUCGGCAGGAUUUUGGGAUUAUAAAAAGAGAUAAAAGAAUCUCCAUGUCUCCCACAGUAAAUUACAUGCCCCAUUCUGUAUAAGUGAAGGCAAAAGUGAAAUGCCCAUUUAAAACAACCAGGUCAUAUUUGUCUGGCAAGAUGUUGAUAUAAUCUGCAUUACUUUAGUAAAAAGCGGGACCAAUCAGAGGAUUACAAUAAAAAUUUGAUGGAAGGGGCUAUUUUAAUAGACAUACUAACAAAAUUACUUUCUGGCAAGUUGUAGUAAAGAAAUACCUGAAAUUGGAUUGGUUUGUAAUGUCAAUUGCAUAUUGAAGUCUGGACAGAUUCUGAAGUACCAUGGCCAUAUAUUUUUUAAAUGGCUCUUUAUUUUGGAGAAGGCUGAUAAGGGAGAGAUUGCCUCUCAUUCAAGAGGGGAGCGGAAAAUAUGAUGAACUCAACUGGGUAGGGAAUAUUAUUCAGAAGUUUUGAUGCAACUCAAAACAUUGUCACUGGUGUGAAUGAAGUCUUGAGGAGCUACCAACCUGCUCCCAAGCAGAGGUGAGUUCUGAAUGGGCAGAAGUAGAACAGGACACAGGACAUGCUACAGUGUGUGCUGAGAGCUGGAAACAGCAUUUCAGAAUGCCUGUCACCCUCCUUAUCCAUAUCCCAAUCACCUAUUCAGCACUUUGUUUCGGCCAGUGCAAUGUGGUACUUUAUACUCAGCAAAAACCAUCUUCUGCUAACCCUGACUUCCUCAGAACUCAUCUUACACUAAUACAUGAAUUCCAAAACCCAAAAAUAUUGCCAUAGCGUUCUCAAGCUGCUCAGCCUUCAUCAAUGGCUUUUUGUAUCAGUGAUUAAUUCUACGAGUCCUUCUUCUAUAGCCUUCUCUUCAUAAAUGACCCUUAAUUUUCCUUUAGAUUAAUAUGCCAAUGUUAUGGAAAUGUACAAAUAAACCUCUCCUGCAUUAAAAAUCUUCCUUUCAAAGAACACAGACAGAACUGUAGAUGCAAUGCUGCUUUAAACUGUUUCAGCUUGGUUGGUAACAGGCAAUUCUUUGCACUAUUGUCCUAGGUUCUGAAAACCUAGGCUAAAAUGUCAGGCUCCAUUCCUGACAUAUUACCGAAUAAAAACAUAUUAUUAUUUCAGGUGCAUCAUGUAGAGUGUUGGGAUCAAAAAACGAAGAAGUAUUCAUCAUGCCCAGCUUUUCUGCAUCUUCAAAAUGGAAUUGCCCCAACUAUGGACUUCAUUUCAGAAGGGCUUAAGAGGUUUUCGUGAAGAUCAGAAGCAGGACAUGGUGCAACCCAGUUUGGGAAUUCAGGCAGAUAAUAUCUACACCUGGCUUUUUCAGGAGCAAACCUUCAUCCCUGAAUGCUGGGCCAGCAAUGCGGACUGAAAACAUCUUCAAAGAAGAAUACUGCCCCAAAUCCUUGAGAAAAAGGCCAGAAAGAAGUGACUAUGGAAAGAUCUCUAAAUGUUCUGAGGAAUAAGAAGCAAAAUAUUCCAAACUGCACUCUUCCAUAGGAGGAAAUAACAGGAAAAGCGAGAUCCAGUUCUAGGCAACUGCUGGUCUGCAAAGACACAUCACACUAGAAUGUUUUCUAACCCCAAAGAAGAAACAGAAAAGAAGGGAUUUCAUCAGUGUGCCCCUGAUUUGGGCAUCAGAAAGAAGCUCAGACCAGUAUUAUAUCCUGUGGCUGACAACUGGUCCAUACACCAGUUGUGAUAUCCACAACCUUUGCAAAUGAGAAUCAGGGUUUACCAUGGCUACAAAUCAGGUAUGCAGACCAAGUUGAAAAAAAAUUAGCAUCUGUUUAUGAAAUUCUAAAUGUUAUACAUGUUUUGGAAUGCAUUUUAAGGCCUAGUUUUGAAAUGAACACACUAAAAGUAAUACAAUUUCUGAAGACAUCAUGUUAGCUAAUACCAUUAGCAACCAGAGCUUGAGGUCUCUGUCUCUCAGUGAAUUCCAGCUUGAAAGAAUUUCUGUUUGACUUGUGUUUUUUCAAGUUUUUCCCCUAGAAUACUUAAAAUAUAAGCUUAAUUUUCUUCUUUUCUUUUCCUUCUUCUUCCUCCUCUUCUUCUUAUUUUUUUUUCUUUUUUUUUUUUAAAUCUUGUCACCAUGUUGUCAUUUUUUGUCAUGUAUAUUAUUCCAGAAGGAUUUGAUGUCUGGAGUGAUUGCAUAAAUCAACUCAACUAUGUCACUACUUAUAAGUUUGCAAUAUGUUAACUCUCUUCAUAAUUUACAUAAUGUUUAAAUAAUAUACCUUCUUUUUCCCUUACCCCUACAUUAAUGUGAUUAGAAUCAGUGGAAGCGCUAUAAUUUUCUUGUAACGUGUGCUUUCCACCUACGCUUGCUUAUUACAAGAAGUAUCGUUUCUAAAACUAGCAGCCUCUGAUCAGUUUAGCUGUCAAAAAUUAUUUUUUUCCAAGAACAAAAUUACCUUAUAAAAUAUAUUAUUGUUUCUACUUAGUAUUCCUGUUAAGAUAAACAAACAACAGAAAAUUGUUGCUUUGUCUUAUUUAUUUCCAUGUUGGCACCUAACUGUAAGUAGUAGUGGAAUACAUCUUCUGAUAUAUUAUGCAAUUAAAUUGAUGGAUGGUUAAUUGAGUCAGUAUGGCACACCAUAUGUGUACUCCUGACCUGAAUGUCACUGGUCAGAUUAAGGCUUCACACAUUUGACCAAAGAACAUAUGCUGUUACUGAGAAUGUGGCUCUAGAUAGAAUGGGGAUUUUAGUACAUGGAAAAAAAAUCAUCAUAACUGGCUUUGCUCUUUGGUUGUUGGAGCCCUGGCUCCUCAGGAGUCCAGCUGUAAAGGACUUUAAAAAUAAUGAAAGUUAUUAAUUAAAAGCUUACUGACAUCAUGGCCAUUAACUUUGGCAGGCUCUUUCAUUAAUUUAUUUGAGGUCUCUUAUUACAUGACAUAUCCUCAUCAUAGCGUUUGUGCCUUUGUACAUCAAGCUUGAGAUCUUAUUGGCUUUUAAUUUGAGCUUAGCCUUUUCUAUUUUUAUCUCAAAUGCCUUAUUUUUUUAAAGAAAUAAAAUAUUUUCCUUAUUGGUGGGCAUGAUACAUAUGCAAGCAAUAAAGUAGCAGAAGGAGGGGAGCUCAUAGACCUUUAAUGACAGUGACACAUAGACAUCAAAACACAUACAGAUUCUCAACAGAAACAUUCUUGUAUAUAUAGUUACAUCACAGUUACAAAUAAUGGUAUUUUUAGAAGUGCCUUGCUAAAUCAUUGUUUUCAUGAUGAUUAGUCCUAGUUUUUGGCAGAUUUAAUAUUUCUGUUUUAUCUUAUUUAUCUAAAUAAUAUUUAAUGACAUUGUAUUUUUUGUCAGCUAUUUUGCAUAUUUUACUUCUAAACCAGGUAUUAUGGGAGCUAUUUUAGCUUCACAAAUGUUUUAAAGUAAAUUAUGUUAUUUUGCAAAAUUAUUGCAGUAGAACAUACAUCUGAGCAAUAAUGUUUUAUCUUUGACAUUGCUUUGAUGACUCAUCCAUUUUGACAGGUAACUGCUUUAAAGCUAUUUAGUUUGCAUCAACACUGAGAUAAAACGAGACUUGAACAAUAUGUACCAAAGAAGAAAAAAAUAUACUGUCAUUACAUGGUUAGAAAAAACAAAGAUUUGUAAUGGGAAAAAACAGCUAAUAGGGAAAUAUCUUUGAUUCAGUCAUUGCCUAUUGUAGCAAACCUGCAUAUUCGUUGUCCACUGACUUAACCUAGAAAAAGAGUAGUACUGUCUCUGCUGCAUAAUUUGUUACUGCCACUUUGAGAAAGAUUAUGAUAAUGUACAUAUAACAAAAUUGACAACAACGGAGGAGUCCUGUAAUUUUGAACUAAAUUCAAGGAGGCUGCUCUGAGCAUAAGAACUAACAGUGUCUUCAUUAUGAUUAGCUUACCUUUUCAAGUGUUCUGCUAGGAACCUCUAUCACGUAAAUUGAGGCAGGAACUUUAUUAUCAUCACUAUAGCAACUGCAGGGAAAUUUAUUUCAAAACAGUUGGCUACCUGAAAAUUUUCUCGUGAUGGAAAGAACAGCAGAUGAUAUAUACAUUUUAAUUCAUUUUCAUUUAUUCCUGUUUUGAAGUGUUCCAUAAAUGAGUAAAAGGAUUUUUUCUUGUUGUUGUUUUAAAGACAAGAUAGCCAGUUCCAUCUUAUUUUUUUUUCCUAAUCCAUCUUUUUUUCACUAGGAGCAAAAAAGAGUGCUGAAGGAUUUUGGUUCUAUCAUUAUAUGUAAAACUUUAAUUAUGCUAAGAUAUGGAAUAUUUCAAAUUGGUCAUUUAAUGCACAAUUCUCUUCAUUAUUUAAUUUUUGAGCUUAGCUGUUACCUGGCUUUUCUUUUGACUUUGAUCUUAAAUCAUAUAACCGCUCAGCAAGAAUGGUGAAGCAUGCUUUUCUUUAUUAUUUUCCCAUGGUGUUAUUAUCUUCUGUGCCUAAAGAAAAGGGAUAACUGCACAGAUGUAUUUUUAGGGGAUGUGAGGAAACUGUAGAUGCACAUAGAAAUUGAAUGCAAUUACAAGGAAGUGUCUGUUUUUUGUCCAUGGCAGGAUAGAUCCCAUGUUCACACUUGCAAUUUUUCAUGCACAGCCCCCAUUUUGUUGCAUUUCUGUAAUUACAGAGCUAGUAUAAUGCUGAAAACAAUGGUAAUGCUUCGGAAACUGGCAUCAAUCUUUUAUUGAAAAUGUACAAAGAAUUUUUUAAAAUUCUUUCUGCUCCAUGAUAGUUUUAUUUUCUUUAAAAUGAAGAAAGAGAAAGGCAGUGUUUUGAAACAUGGGUUUCAUUAAAUAAGCACAGAGAAAUGGAGAAAUAUCUCAGCUGUCUUGAAAACCUUUUUCUCCACAAAAUAUAAAAAGUGUAAAAAUUCUUAUUAUUUAUGCAUUGUGUCUGGUGUUCCAUUAUGAAAGUGCAGUGUAUCUCAAAGGUACCCCAUAUAACACACUUCAGUCACUGCUUUAACCAAUGCCCAUUUUUUAUUGAAAAAGACAGUAUAAAAUUUACUGCAAUCUGCAUUAACAAAUAGAUCACGUGAUGGGGACUUCUUUAGCUCUCUUUUACUUUUACAUCUUACUUGUAGCCAAAUUUCUCUCAACUCCUCCUAACAAAGAAGAAUAUUUCAUGGUUUAGAUUUCUGUGGGUUCUUCCUUCUACUAUGAAAUGGAAAUAUGUUAAUUUUCUUUCACAGACAGGAAGGCACUUAAAGAAUUGCUGAAGAUGAGAAUGCGAGAUUGAAUGUAAAACAGUCAAUACAGUUGAAUAUUUCAGGUACUUCGCAUGAGGCUCAUUUUCACUUGAUAGUUUUAGGAAUCUCACCAGGACACCUACCUAAACAGUCAAGUUGUCCUUAGGUCCUUAAAUAAUUCAUUGGGAAAGAUUUGCCCCUCCAGAACAGAAUCAGAAUUGCUCUCUGAAAGUACAUUUUUUUUCUUCUGAUGACUGACUAGGAGUCUAUUGUACUCUUCUUUUACCACCCUUAAUUCUCUAAAAAAUUCAUCAGGUCAAAAUAUUUUCACUCACAAACAUCUCACAUCUGUGGAAAGACAGAAUUUUCAAUUGCAAUAUGUUUGGUUGGAGAUAUUUUGUUCAAUAUACUUUGGCUGGUUGGUCAUUUGUGGUUUUGUUUAUCAGGAGGCAUUUUUUUGUGGUAGGGUUUGUUUAUUUGUUUGUUUAGUUGUUUGGCUGGUUGUUUUUGGUUGUAUUCUUUGACACUUUUUUGAAUCUACAAGCCCUUGAAGAAUAUUAAAAUCCCAGGAGGCCAGACCUUGAAAUCAUUGCUGCCAAUGGGAGUUUCGCCAGUGACUCUCCCAGGAUCACUAUUUCACAUUUUUACACAAAUUAAGACUCAAUAAAGAAAUGUCCUUGGAAAUGUGACUGGAACAAGUCAGGGUAACUAUGUGAAUGACCAGAGAUUAAAUUAGUUUUCAGGGCAGCUUAAUAGUUAUCAAAAGAACAUCCAUCAUUAGGUAUUAUAAUCCAUAAACACAAGUGAUUACUUUGUAGGAGAAAGCGCUAGUGCUUUGAAAAUCUAUCUCUAGGCAUUGAAACAGCCAUUGUAAAAUGUUGUUCAUCUCUAUGACAGCUUAAAAUAUUUUUGGAAUAGAGAUCUCAAUUUAUUAAGGCAAAAGAUCUAUACAUUAACGUAUUUGGGCCAACUGUAGUAUCUCACCGAAGUCCCAUCAGAACCAGCCUCACCCUACAUUGAUUCACUGUUCUGCUAGCAUGUACACACUUGAAGUGUUAGCAUUUCUGCUACCCACAGAAAGCCAGGUACCUGCUGGCCAAAAGUGCCUCCACAGGCUCAGCCACUUCUUCCCCUUCCCCUCGGGCUUUGACUGCCUCUUCUUGUGGGACCUUGGUCAGAGCUGCAGAAGGAAGAGCCUGGAUGGGAUCUCCCACCUUCCUCCACCUGAGAUGCUCCCCCUGGAUCUUUGCUGCAGCCAGUAUUCUCGCUGUUCUGAUCCUGACCCUGACCCAGUGACCUGAUAUUCUGCCUUGACUGAACCAGGCCCAUCAAUGGGGACUAAUCUGUGAUGCUUGGACAUAUGCUGGCUCUGGUCCCUGUCACUGAUCCUGCCACAUACAUCUCACUGGGCACAACAGGAUGGCACCCCAUGAGCAUGGCACUGACUGAUCAGCCCAACCAUCACCCAUGGGCCCUGACUCCAGGCCAUUUGCAAAGCACCCUUCUCCUCCUGCUCCCUGGUAGUACAACUCCCAAGUGCCAGCCAACCUGAGAUCAGAAAGCAGUGCUCCAACUGUUCAAGAAUUUCUUUGUUUCCUUUCACUCUUGGUGACUGCUUUGAUGAACUUGUAUCUGGAAAGAUUUUCCUAUGUAUAAUGUUGGGUUUUGGUCAAUACAUAAGAGACAGAAUGUAUAUCCUAAUUUAGCCAAUAAUAUGUUGUUCAUCACAAGCAUAGAAAAACUGAUUGCAAUCUGUUUUUUUGUUGGAUCCAGUGACUUGAACCUGAACAGAUAUACAGUCCCUUUAUGUCCUCAGUUCUCAUAUAUGCUUUUAUGAGAAAAUGUUCCAUUUGACAAAGCAGGCAUUGUGCCAGAAAAUGAAUGAUUAACUCCACAACCAUAGGAUUAAGGUGAUUGUAUGUUAUUUUCACUUAGGAAUUCCAACUUUGAAUUCUGCUGUAAUAAAUUUUUGUGAAGAACAGAACACUCCCAAAAGAAAGACUCAGGGUAGAUGCAGUCAAACACAAAGAUUGUGGCAUUCACCUGAGAUUCUGGAACCUGGAAAGUCACUGCUUGAACCUCACUUUUCAAACACAAAUAAAGGAAAGAAGCAGCACUCAGUUGGCCAUCUGAGGAAAUGUGAAGGGUGUGUUCUCAACAGUUUGUCCUCAGAGUCUCUUUAUGAGGAUUAGAGAAUGUGUUGUGAUGAAGAUUGGAAAAUUUAAUAUAUUUUGUUUGGAAAUCAAAGCUUUUUCCUGUCUGUCCAAAGAGUUAUCAUCAUAUUCUGAUGCACAAAA